rnacentral:rRNA from 1 species
GACGAACGCUGGCGGCGUGCUUAACACAUGCAGGUCGAACGGAAAGGCCCUGCUUGCAGGGUGCUCGAGUGGCGAACGGGUGAGUAACACGUGGGUGAUCUGCCCCUUACUUUGGGAUAAGCCUGGGAAACUGGGUCUAAUACUGGAUAGGACCAUGCUGUAGGUGGUGUGGUGGAAAGAUUAGUUUCGGUAAGGGAUGAGCUCGCGGCCUAUCAGCUUGUUGGUGGGGUAAUGGCCUACCAAGGCGUCGACGGGUAGCCGGCCUGAGAGGGUGGACGGCCACAUUGGGACUGAGAUACGGCCCAGACUCCUACGGGAGGCAGCAGUGGGGAAUAUUGCACAAUGGGCGCAAGCCUGAUGCAGCGACGCCGCGUGGGGGAUGACGGCCUUCGGGUUGUAAACUCCUUUCAGCCAUGACGAAGCCCUUGUGGUGACGGUAGUGGUAGAAGAAGCACCGGCUAACUACGUG